GAUGAACGCUGGCGGCGUGCUUAAUACAUGCAAGUCGAGCGAGGACCACCCGGUGGCAACACCGGGUGACUCCUAGCGGCGAACGGGUGAGUAACACGUGGGCAACCUGCCCCCGACUCUGGGAUAAGCCCGGGAAACUGGGUCUAAUACCGGAUACGAGCCUCCUCCGCAUGGUGGAGGUUGGAAAGGGUCUCCGGUCGGGGAUGGGCCCGCGGCCUAUCAGCUUGUUGGUGGGGUGACGGCCCACCAAGGCGACGACGGGUAGCCGGCCUGAGAGGGUGAACGGCCACACUGGGACUGAGACACGGCCCAGACUCCUACGGGAGGCAGCAGUAGGGAAUCUUGCGCAAUGGGCGAAAGCCUGACGCAGCGACGCCGCGUGCGGGACGAAGGCCCUCGGGUUGUAAACCGCUUUCAGCAGGGACGAAGCGAAAGUGACGGUACCUGCAGAAGAAGGUCCGGCCAACUACGUGCCAGCCGCCGCAGUAAUAC
rnacentral:rRNA from 1 species